AUACGGAGGGUGCAAGCGUUAAUCGGAAUUACUGGGCGUAAAGCGUACGUAGGCGGUUCGUUAAGUUAGAUGUGAAAGCCCCGGGCUUAACCUGGGAACUGCAUUUAAAACUGGCGGACUAGAGUUGAGUAGAGGGGAGUGGAAUUUCAGGUGUAGCGGUGAAAUGCGUAGAGAUCUGAAGGAACACCAGUGGCGAAGGCGACUCCCUGGACUCGAACUGACGCUGAGGUACGAAAGCGUGGGUAGCAAACGGGAUUAGAAACCCUAGAGUCC
rnacentral:rRNA from 1 species